CGACAUGGCCUCCAUAGCCCCUCUAGGCCAGGCGCUCACAUUUCUUCAGAAAGCCUGGAAGGACCAGACAGAUAACACAGUCCAGAGACCCUGCCCAUUGUUUCUUCUGAGAUCUGCGGCCGAGCCAGUGUCCCCUACCUGCCGCAUCCGCAAGGUUGAGGCUGCGAAGGGUCCUCAGGCCAACACCUUAGGAUAAGCCCACCAUUAAAAUACCUAGUGACUCUACUUUUUCGUAGGAAACAAUACUGAAUCCAGUCAGCAACAGGUUUCUGAAUUUCGUGACUGGUUUUCCAAUAUCUAGCUGUUCUCAACCCGUGGGUCGAGACCCCCUCGGAGUCACG
rnacentral:lncRNA from 1 species